rnacentral:rRNA from 1 species
UACGUAGGGGGCUAGCGUUGUCCGGAAUCAUUGGGCGUAAAGAGCGUGUAGGCGGUCCGGUAAGUCCGUUGUGAAAGUCAGGGGGCUCAACCCUUGAAUGCCGGCGGAUACUGUCGGGCUAGAGUCCGGAAGAGGCGAGUGGAAUUCCCGGUGUAGCGGUGAAAUGCGCAGAUAUCGGGAGGAACACCUAUGGCGAAGGCAGCUCGCUGGGACGGUACUGACGCUGAGACGCGAAAGCGUGGGGAGCAAACAGG